ACCUGGGUGGCUCAGUUGGUGGAGUGCCUGACUUCUGAUCUCAGGGUCGUGAGUUCGAGUCCCACACUGAGUG
rnacentral:tRNA from 1 species